rnacentral:sRNA from 1 species
UUUAACAGGCGGUUUGUGGAAUUCCUAACUCGCACCGCUGGUUCCGCCCAGGCUGGUCGCCAAGCCCCUGAUGCCUGGGGCUUUCUUACCUCUAAAUGGCCCACAUCUGACUUCUCUCCUAGGUACAGCAGAGAAUUCAACUGAGAUAGCAGGAAGCAUAGCACAUGGACUGCUCUCCUGCGAUCCUACCAUUGUUAAAGCAGGGGGCAUCAGAAGCCAAGAACUCCUUGGGUUUUCCGUGGUGAUCAGCUAGCUGCAUGGUGGCUAGUUGCACCAUGGCUAGUGGCAUUAUGCCUAGCUGCACUGUGGGUAGCUGCACCGUGGCUAGUGGCACCGUGGCUAGCUGCACCGUGGCUAGCGGCAUUGUGGCUAGCUGCACUGUGGGUAGCUGCACCAUGGCUAGCUGCACCGUGGCUAGCAGCAUUGUGGCUAGCUGCACUGUGGGUAGCUGCACCGUGGCUAGUGGCACCGUGGCUAGCUGCACCGUGGCUAGCUGCACUGUGGGUAGCUGCACUGUGGCUAGUAGCACCGUGGCUAGCAGCACUGUGGCUAGCUGCACCGUGGCCUGCAGUGCAGACAUGAGGCUCACACUGCCAAUGGCCGUCUGUUCUGCUUCCACACUGUUGUCCUUGUUCCCUGCAGGUGUCGGCACAUCUGAAGCUUCAGGAGAAGGAUGAAGGCAGAAGGGAGAUGGUCAAGGAGAUACUGACAGCGCUGGGCUUGCUGUCUUGUGCCAACACGCGGACCGGGAGCCUGUCAGGUGGUCAGCGCAAGCGCCUGGCCAUCGCGCUGGAGCUGGUGAACAACCCUCCAGUCAUGUUCUUCGAUGAGCCCACCAGCGGCCUGGACAGCGCCUCCUGCUUCCAGGUGGUCUCGCUGAUGAAAGGGCUCGCUCAAGGGGGUCGCUCCAUCAUUUGCACCAUCCACCAGCCCAGCGCCAAACUCUUCGAGCUGUUCGACCAGCUUUACGUCCUGAGUCAAGGACAAUGUGUGUACCGGGGAAAAGUCUGCAAUCUUGUGCCAUAUUUGAGGGAUCUGGGUCUGAAUUGCCCAACCUACCACAACCCAGCAGAUUUUGUCAUGGAGGUUGCAUCCGGCGAGUACGGUGAUCAGAACAGUCGGCUGGUGAGAGCAGUUCGGGAGGGCAUGUGUGACUCCGACCACAAGAGAGACCUCGGGGGUGAUGCCGAGGUGAACCCUUUUCUUUGGCACCGGCCCUCUGAAGAGGUAAAGCAGACAAAACGAUUAAAGGGGUUGAGAAAGGACUCCUCGUCCAUGGAAGGCUGCCACAGCUUCUCUGCCAGCUGCCUCACGCAGUUCUGCAUCCUCUUCAAGAGGACCUUCCUCAGCAUCAUGAGGGACUCGGUCCUGACACACCUGCGCAUCACCUCGCACAUUGGGAUCGGCCUCCUCAUUGGCCUGCUGUACUUGGGGAUCGGGAACGAAGCCAAGAAGGUCUUGAGCAACUCCGGCUUCCUCUUCUUCUCCAUGCUGUUCCUCAUGUUCGCAGCCCUCAUGCCCACUGUUCUGACAUUUCCCCUGGAGAUGGGAGUCUUUCUUCGGGAACACCUGAACUACUGGUACAGCCUGAAGGCCUACUACCUAGCCAAGACCAUGGCGGACGUGCCCUUUCAGAUCAUGUUCCCAGUGGCCUACUGCAGCAUCGUGUACUGGAUGACGUCGCAGCCGUCCGACGCCGUGCGCUUUGUGCUGUUUGCCGCGCUGGGCACCAUGACCUCUCUGGUAGCACAGUCCCUGGGCCUGCUGAUCGGAGCCGCCUCCACGUCCCUGCAGGUGGCCACCUUCGUGGGUCCGGUGACGGCCAUCCCAGUGCUCCUGUUCUCAGGGUUCUUCGUUAGCUUCGACACCAUCCCCACGUACCUACAGUGGAUGUCCUACAUCUCCUAUGUCAGGUAUGGGUUCGAAGGGGUCAUCCUCUCCAUCUACGGCUUAGACCGGGAAGAUCUGCACUGUGACAUCGACGAGACGUGCCACUUCCAGAAGUCAGAGGCCAUCCUGCGGGAGCUGGACGUGGAAAAUGCCAAGCUGUACCUGGACUUCAUCGUACUCGGGAUUUUCUUCAUCUCCCUCCGCCUCAUUGCCUAUUUUGUCCUCAGGUACAAAAUCCGGGCAGAGAGGUAAAACACCUGAAUGCCAGGAAACAGGAAGAAUAGACACUGUGGCCGAGGGCAUGUCUAGAAUCGAGGAAGCAAGCCUGUGCCCAACCGAUGACGCAGAGACUCUUCUGAUCCAACCCCUAGAACCGCGUUGGGUUUGUGGGUGUCUCUUGCUUAGCUGCUCCGCCCAGCUGGGUUGGAUCUUCUCUCCAUUCCCCUUUCUAGCUUUAACUAGGAAGAUGUAGGCAGGUUGGUGGUUUUUUUUUUUUUUUUUUUUACAUACAGAAUUUUAAAUACCACAACCGGGGCAGAAUUUAAAACUGCAACACAGCUGGUGAUGAGAGGCUUCCUCAGUCCAGUCGCUCCUUAGCACCAGGCACCGUGGGUCCAGGAUGGGGAACUGCAAGCAGCCUCUCAGCUGAUGGCUGUGCAGUCAGAUGUGUCAUGGCAGAGAGUCCGAGCACGGAGCGAUUGCAUUUUAUGACUGUUGUUUUUCAUAGUUUCAUCUUUCUAAGGUGUGUCUCUUUUCCAAUGAGAAGUCAUUUUUGCAAGCCAAAAGUCGAUCAAUCGCAUUCAUUUUAAGAAAUUGUACCUUUUUUAGUACUUGCUAAAGAAUGAUUCAGGGUAAAUCACCUACUUUGUUUAGAGAGGCGAGGGGUUUAACCGAGUCACCUAGCUGGUCUCAUACAUAGACAGCACCUGCAAAGGAUUGAAUGCAGGUUCCAGGUGGAGGGAAGAUGUGGACACCAUCUUCACUGAGCCAUGCAGAAAUUUUUAAAAGCUAUACAAAAAAUUGUAAGAAGACAUUGGCCAACUCUUUCAAAGUCUUUCAUUUUCCACAUGCUUCUUAUUUUAAGCAAAAUAUAUUGUUUGUUUCUUCCUAA